AGGUCAUGCUGUCUAGUAUAGCACUUUAUACUGUGAAACUGCGAAUGGCUCAUUAAAUCAGUUAUCGUUUAUUUGAUAGUACCUUACUACAUGGAUACCUGUGGUAAUUCUAGAGCUAAUACAUGCUAAAAACCCCGACUUCAGGAAGGGGUGUAUUUAUUAGAUAAAAAACCAACGCCCUUCGGGGCUCCUUGGUGAAUCAUAAUAACUUAACGAAUCGCAUGGCCUUGCGCCGGCGAUGGUUCAUUCAAAUUUCUGCCCUAUCAACUUUCGAUGGUAGGAUAGUGGCCUACCAUGGUGGCAACGGGUAACGGGGAAUUAGGGUUCGAUUCCGGAGAGGGAGCCUGAGAAACGGCUACCACAUCCAAGGAAGGCAGCAGGCGCGCAAAUUACCCAAUCCCGAUACGGGGAGGUAGUGACAAUAAAUACUGAUAAGGGGCUCUUUUGGGUCUCGUAAUUGGAAUGAGAACAAUUUAAAUCCCUUAACGAGGAACAAUUGGAGGGCAAGUCUGGUGCCAGCAGCCGCGGUAAUUCCAGCUCCAAUAGCGUAUAUUAAAGUUGUUGCAGUUAAAAAGCUCGUAGUUGAACCUUGGGUCUGGCUGGCCGGUCCGCCUCACCGCGAGUACUGUCCGGCUGGACCUUUCCUUCUGGGGAACCUCAUGGCCUUCACUGGCUGUGGGGGGAACCAGGACUUUUACUGUGAAAAAAUUAGAGUGUUCAAAGCAGGCCUUUGCUCGAAUACAUUAGCAUGGAAUAAUAGAAUAGGACGUGCGGUUCUAUUUUGUUGGUUUCUAGGACCGCCGUAAUGAUUAAUAGGGAUAGUCGGGGGCGUCAGUAUUCAGCUGUCAGAGGUGAAAUUCUUGGAUUUGCUGAAGACUAACUACUGCGAAAGCAUUCGCCAAGGAUGUUUUCAUUAAUCAGGGAACGAAAGUUAGGGGAUCGAAGACGAUCAGAUACCGUCGUAGUCUUAACCAUAAACUAUGCCGACUAGGGAUCGGACGGGAUUCUAUGAUGACCCGUUCGGCACCUUACGAGAAAUCAAAGUUUUUGGGUUCUGGGGGGAGUAUGGUCGCAAGGCUGAAACUUAAAGAAAUUGACGGAAGGGCACCCCAAGGCCGUGGAGCCUGCGGCUUAAUUUGACUCAACCGGGGGAAACUCCCCCGGGCCCGAAAAAAAUAAGGAUUGGCCAAAUGGAAAACCCUUUCCUGGAACUUUUGGAAGGGGGGGCCAUGGCCCCUUCUUAAUUGUGGGGAAGGGAUUUUUCUGCCUUAAUUGGAAAAAAAAAAAAGAACCCGGGCCCUUAAAAAACCCGGCCCCCAUUUUUCGGGGGCCGGGGGUUU
rnacentral:rRNA from 1 species